UCUCGCCGAUCGUAUUAGAUUUCCUAUCUAAUUUGGGAAUAUUGAAUAUUCGAUCAUUCCGGCACGGAUAUUACGUUGCACGCAUCGCCGCGGGCGUGUUAUUUCGAGCCGCGCAGUUCCCCGGCGAAAGCUCGGCAGCGCCGAGGGAGACUUCGAGAUACAUUAGUCAGAAUUCUGAAGUUGCCGCGCGCUAAUCCGCCGCGCCCGCGGCCGAAUUGACGCGCGUUACAAUUGCGACGAGAGGACGACGCGUGUCGAGUUGCACCGCGCGUAUUUCCCGCGUGAAGCGCGCGUCAGGCGUUCUCGAGGAUCCGGGCUGGCUCCUCAGGUCUGUUCUUUUCAUCGGCUAGCCGAGGUAGCCUCGCGCUUUUUGCGCCCGGAGCGAGGCGAGUGUGUCGCGUUAAAGGGGAACAGGAACGAAGUUCCGGCGCAGCGCUGCUUUAGUAGCGCCAAGAAGAGCAGGCCUGUCCUUUCAAACUCGUCCUGGGAACGUCCUACUUUUGUCGGGCUCGUUGUCUGUCGGGCGCCUUUCAGCCGACGAAGGACGACGCCUUUCAGACACGCGCGGUCUUUUAAUUCCACUCCCAUCUCGUUUUUUCCGUCUCUCUCCUGCCGCUCCUCUCUCUCUCUCUCUCUCUCUCUCUCUCGUUUUAUUCCCCAGCCGAGAAAUAUCGGUUCGAUGAAGACGCAUCGUCAUAGCAACCAAACAAACAAGCCGGCGCACUCGAGGCACGUAUCGAAUUUGUCGCGCGACUGACACCGUCUCGAAAGGGCGGCCGCCGCCGUGGCCUCGGCGUUUUCAUCGCUCCUUCGCAGCCGCGCAUCCAGGAGGAUGAUCGCGCCGCCGUCGUCGAGGACGCGCCGCGACUUACCGAAGUCUAGGAGGUAUCCCUUCGACGUGCUCGGCACCGCGAACAUAUCUUACGGGCACAGGUUAGCGGAGUGCGCGGGCCGGCAUGUCGCAAAGUGCCAUGCAAAUUCGCGCAAAUCCGUCUUCGAGUGCGCCGAGGAACGGCCGGAGGACAAGAGGGAAUACGAGCGCGCCCUCAAGACCGCCGAGUUCGAGAAGGAGACCGAUCGGAAGAUCAGAAGCAGGAGUCUUCACCAACAAGCUCAACAAGGUGUGUCGGCGUACGAGGAGCGGCUGCGGCUGCGGCGGGCGAGGCUGCGCGACCUCGUGCGGUGCGAGGACUCGGGCCAGGCGCGGCAGCUGGCGGAGGAGGCGCAGCGCGCCGAGGACGCUCGGCUCGAGGAGAUGCGCGCGAUGACGGAGGAGCUGCGGCGGCAGCGAGAGCAGGAGCGCGGGGUGCUGGCGGCCGCGAAGCGGGCGCAGCAGUACCUGGCCUCGUGCCCGAGCGCUAGACAGGCGUACUCGAAGGGGUGCGCGAUGAACGCGAAGCGCGCCAACGCGGCGCAGAUCGCGGACCACGCGGCGAGGAGAUCGGCGGAGAGGGUGCAGCAGGAGCUGUGGCAGCGGGCGCUGCAACGGCAGCUGGAGGCGCAGGAGCUCCGAGAGUCGCGGCUGUCGGCGAGGCGAGCUGAGGCGCGCCAGCAAUUGGCUCGCGGCUUGGCCGAGCAAGUGGCCGAGAAGUUGGCGCUGGAGGAGGAGCAGAGGCGGCUCGAGAGGAGCGACGAGCUGGAGCAGCUGGAGCGGCAGCGCGAGGAGUCGAGCUUGCUGGAGUCGCGGCAGCUCCAGCUGCGUCAGCAGCAGCGGCAGGAGCUGCGCAAGGAAAUGCAGGAGGAAGUGCUGAGGGCGCAACGGCAGCGAGCGGAGCGCGCUCGUGAGGAAGUCGCGUCGGUUACUGCGGGCGAGUUCAUAAAGGACAAAUCGACAAAGGACCCUGCGACGCUCCGCACCGAGUCGAUGGCCUACGCCGGCUACCUGAAGGACCUGCGGCGGGACGAGGCGAGACGAGAGCGCGAGGCGGAGGCGGCCAUUGAGCGCUCGCGCCAAGAGCUCGAGGCGAAGCGCGAGCUCGCGCGCAGGAGCCUGAAGGAAGCCCGCGAACGCGGCCUGCAGGAGGUCCUGCGCGCUCGGGAGGAACAGGUGAGGGCGCGGCGGACCGCGGAGGCGGCGGAACAGCGGCUGAGGACGGAGGAGAGGGAGGCGCUGGAGAGGCAACUCGAGAGCGACGCCGAGCUGGCCGCGGCGCGGCGGCAGGGGGACAGACAAAAGGCGUAUCGUUAUGGGCUGGAGCUGGAGGAGCAGCGGCGGCAGCGUCUCGUCGCGGCGGCGGAGCGACGCCGCGAAUUGGAGGAGCUGGAGAACCGGGCGGCCGAGGAAGAGAGGAUGCGGCGAGCGGCGGAGACGUGGUGCGCUUCCGGAAGGAUCGUGCGCCAGCCGCCCUGCUCAAUCCCCCCUUGCCGGCGGUCGUCUGAGGAAUGCCGGGCCGGCGGUAGUCGCACGCCGCGGGAAGGACGUUCCGGCGGCCCUCCGCUUUUGAUUUCCGCGUGAAUUUUAACGUCGCCCUCUUCCCUGCAAACUUCUCCGACAACACGACAACGAGCUUGCCGAAUGCGUUCGUUGAUCGCGUGGGAACCGUUCUUGAAGGAUCAUAGCGGACGGUCGAAGAUGCACGUCAAGAUUGAACGGACGCUUGAAGAUGGAUGAUUGUAAGGACGGUGGGGUGAUGUGAAAAAGAGCACCGAGACGCGACUUUGACCACCGAGGGAUGAAAAUUUCCCCGCAUAUUCCGGUCGGUGCAGCUGCAUGCGUGCGUGCAUGUGUGUGUGUGUGUGUGCGCUUGCACAAUUUCCAUUCAUACCACCGGAACGCGUGUCAAACACGAGGCAUUGACAGAAUUUAAUAACAUGCAUAACCCACAAAAUUAUAAAUGAUAUCGUGUAACAUUUUGUACCUCUCUCUCCUCCUCCUGCCUUCUCUCUCUCUCUCUCUCUCUCUCUCUCUCUC
rnacentral:misc_RNA from 1 species